UUAACUUCCCGGGUUGAAUCAGCGAACGAGCCACCCAUAGCCGCGAAGAAGACAUCCAGCCCGUUCCAGAGCACCUCACCGCUCGCCGGGAACGAUUCUCCGGCUGUCCCGUACGGCGGCCCGAAGCCGCCGCUCGCCGGACCGUCUGGUUCCGCCUGCUCCGCCUGUUCCGCGUUUUCUUGCUGUUUCGCCCCUUUCCGACCCUUCCUUUGCCCAUCCCAACCUCCUACAAGAUCCCCAAGACCCCCGGGAGCCAUUGGUUGCCAACCACCCGCUUGCCGGAGCUCCGAUCGGCCCGUUUUUGCCGUUGAAGUUGCUGGUUUCUUCUCUGCAGUUUAGUCCAGAUCAGAAGCAGAAGACAGCAAGGUUUUGGAGACUUCGAGGCCUGUUUUCAGUGUCUUCCCAGCCUCCGUUGGUGUCGCCGCUUUGGGGUUUAUCGACCGCCUUGGCGUCGCCUUCGCCGUGGACUCGCCGGAAUGUUAAUCCGGUGAGUUUAUACUCUAAUUCUUGCUUAGUGAGUUAAUGAUGCUUAAGGGAUGUUUAGAUUAGUCUAAUUAGGUUUAUGUGAUUAAAUUAGAUUAUUUUAAUGUAAAUUAGAUUAGUUGUAUGAUUAGUUUAAUUGAUGCUUAAUUAGGGCUAAUUGUAUGUUUAAAUUAGUGUAAUCUAGUUUAAGCCCUAAUUAAUUAUUUUUAAUUAAAUAAUUAUUUCGAAUUUAUAAAUAUUAUUUUAUUAAAUUAUAUUAUUAUAAAAUAAUAUUUAAUUAUUUAAUUUUCGGAAUUAAAUUUAAUUAUUUAAUAAUUUCGAAAAUUAUGCCAAGAUGGCCGGUCGUUAGAAUUUCGCGCUGAUCGCAGCAGUGUGGUCGGUUUGUGUUAAUUGUAAGCUUAAAUUAAGGAAUUGAGUUAAUGACGAUUAUGGUUAAUUAUUCCUAAGUGAGGAAUUGAAUAAAAUUGGAGAAGUUUUGGUAUUUAACUUGAAAAUACCUGGUGUUAGCUUCUAACACCGUGAUUGGUUUGUAUGGCCAGUUUGAAUCUAUUGAUUGAUUUGAUUGAGGAUUGGUUUGGGUUAUUGUUGAAUUGAUAGCUUUGGCGAGCAGUUGUUUAUAUAUGUAUCAGCUUGGGCAAGCAAAUAUUAUAUACAUAUAUGCUACAGCUUCAGUGAGCUAUCUAUACGCUACAGCUUCAGUGAGCUAUCUAUACGCUACAGCUUCAGUGAGCUAUUAUAUGAGCUACAGCUUUGGCGAGCUAUUAUAUUAUCUAUCAGCUAUAGCUUCAGCGAGCUACCAUCUAUAUAAUAUAGCUUUGGAGAGCAUUUGUCGUAUUAACGACUGGCUUGAUAGACGGUAUGGAAAGAUAGAUAAUAUGAUUGAAUUGAAUCAUUGCGAAUGAUUGGAUUGAUUGAAUUGAUAGACCGAUGGGUAUGUCGGUAGUUUCAGCUUGUGCGAGUAUUGUUGAAUAUGAAUUGUACUGACGUGCAGGAAAGGGACUGAGGCGAGGUAAGCCCACUAUCCUAUUUGUGUGGCUAGAGCGCCCUGAGGCGUAUUUUCUCCCUAAUUGAGUUUUAGAGGGUAGGACUCGCUGAGACGUAGUCUCAUCCCGGUUGUGGGAUAAUAUUUCAGGUCCCUAGAUGACGGUCGUGGAGGACCGGAAGUCCUUGAGUUCGGAAGCUGGAGGCUGAAGAAUCGGGGAACGUGUCUGACAAGUGGGUCAUAGGACAGUUCCCUAGUUGUUGAGCCUGUCUAUUUUGUAGACAAUCCAGUGUUGUAUAUAAACCUAUGUGUUUAUAAGAAAGCUUGU
rnacentral:lncRNA from 1 species